rnacentral:rRNA from 1 species
CCUACGAGCGGCAGCAGUGGGGGAUAUUGCACAAUGGGGGGAACCCUGAUGCAGCGACGCCGCGUGGGUGAAGGAGCGUUUCGGCGCGUAAAGCCCUAUCGGCAGGGAAGAAGAUGACGGUACCUGACCAAUAAGCCCCGGCUAACUACGUGCCAGCAGCCGCGGGAAUACGUAGGGGGCAAGCGUUAUCCGGAUUUACUGGGUGUAAAGGGGGCGCAGACGGCAAUGCAAGCCAGGAGGGAAAGCUCGGGGCCCAACCCCGGGACUGCUCUUGGAACUGCAUGGCUGGAGUACAGGAGGGGCAGGCGGAAUUCCUAGUGAAGGGGUAAAAUCCGUAGAGAUCAAGAGGAAUACUCAUUGCGAAGGCGACCUGCUGGAACAUUACUGACGCUGAUGCACGAAAGCGUGGGGAGCAAACAGGAUUAGAUACCCUUGUAGUC